rnacentral:rRNA from 1 species
AGCCUGAACGCUGGCGGCGUGGCUAAGACAUGCAAGUCGUACGGGUGUAGCAAUACACCAGUGGCGGACGGGUGAGUAAUGUAUCGCUAACGUGCCCCCCAGUCCGGGAUAGCCGAGGGAAACUUCGGGUAAUACCGGUUGACAUCACGAUCAGGCAUCUGAUUGUGCUCAAAGGGAACCGCUGGAGGAGCGGGCGAUAUCGUAUCAGCUAGUUGGCGGGUAACGGCCCACCAAGGCGACGACGCGUAGCCGGACUGAGAGGUUGGCCGGCCACAUUGGGACUGAGACACUGCCCAGACUCCUACGGGGGCUGCAGUAACGAAUCUUCCGCAAUGCACGCAAGUGUGACGGAGCGACGCCGCGUGUGGGACGAAGCCCCUCGGGGUGUAAACCACUGUCAGGGGAUAGAAAGUUCUGAUCAUCCCCAGAGGAAGGCACGGCUAACUCUGUGCCAGCAGCCGCGGUAA